UUGCAGGCUAAUGCUGGUGACCAAGCUUUGCAAUCAACAUCCAGUCAGAGAAUGAUGAUGCGCUACUGGAAUAUCCAAAUUCUACAGCUUCUUAGGUGCACAUAGCUGUCCGUCGCAAAUGUAACAACGAACACUUCAUUGAAAAA